rnacentral:rRNA from 1 species
GGGACUACCGGGUGACUUAAGCAUAUCAAUAGGCAGAGGAAAA